UGGGGAAUAUUGCACAAUGGGGGAAACCCUGAUGCAGCAACGCCGCGUGAGUGACGAAGGCCUUCGGGUUGUAAAGCUCUGUCUUCACUGACGAAGUAUGACGGUAAGUGAGGAGGAAGCCACGGCUAACUACGUGCCAGCAGCCGCGGUAAUACGUAGGUGGCAAGCGUUGUCCGGAAUUAUUGGGCGUAAAGGAUGCGUAGGCGGUCUUUUAAGUGGGAUGUGAAGUACCUGGGCUUAACUCAGGGAUUGCAUUCCAAACUGGAAGACUAGAGUGCAGGAGAGGAAAGUGGAAUUCCCAGUGUAGCGGUGAAAUGCGUAGAGAUUGGGAGGAACACCAGUGGCGAAGGCGACUGUCUGGACUGUAACUGACGCUGAGGCAUGAAAGCGUGGGGAGCAAACA
rnacentral:rRNA from 1 species